rnacentral:rRNA from 1 species
UACGUAGGGGGCAAGCGUUGUCCGGAGUUACUGGGCGUAAAGCGCACGCAGGCGGUCUGCUAAGUUUGGAGUGACAGUUGGUGGCUUAACUGCCAAAGUGCUUCGAAAACUGACAGACUUGAGGGCUUCAGAGGGACACGGAAUUCCGGGUGGAGUGGUGAAAUGCGUAGAGAUCUGGAAGAACACCAAAGGCGAAGGCAGCAUCCUGGGAAGUUCCUGACGCUCGGGUGCGAAAGCCAGGGUAGCGAACGGG